UACGGGGGAGCAAGCGUUGUUCGGAUUUACUGGGCGUAAAGGGCGCGUAGGCGGUCGUGACAAGUCACUUGUGAAAUCUCCGGGCUUAACUCGGAACGGUCAAGUGAUACUGUCGGACUAGAGUACAGAAGGGGCAACUGGAAUUCUCGGUGUAGCGGUGAAAUGCGUAGAUAUCGAGAGGAACACCUGCGGCGAAGGCGGGUUGCUGGGCUGAUACUG
rnacentral:rRNA from 1 species